CGCUCAAAAGCUCAUUUGGCAGAACGAGUGUGCGAGUAAAUCUCUCUCUCUCUCUCUCUGCGCAACGAUGGCGACGGAGAGCGCAGUGAAGGUCUCACCUGACAUGCAGCCGGAGCACGCGGUCAGUGUCACUAUUUUCUUCGAGGGCGUAGGGGUCAACAGCUCUCUACCGGCUCAGCUCGCCGCGAAGGACGCGUGCUCUAACCUCCUCCGCGACUUACUCCGAGCCGAUCGAAUCGAACGCGGCAAAAUCACCUGCUCGUUCACCGUCGAACCUGUGAUCGCUAAUAUUUAUGGUGGAUUACAUGGCGGGGCUGUUGCUGCCAUUGCUGAGAGAGUGUCAAUUGCUUGUGCUAGAACAGUUGUGGCUCAGAACAAAGAGAUUUUCCUUGGUGAAUUGAGCAUUUCUUAUCUAUCUGCUGCCGGAAAAUCUGCAGAGGUGAUUGUUGAUGGGUCGAUAAUCAGGAGCGGGAGAAACGUGACAUUAGUGUCAGUUGAUUUUAAACUCAAAAAGACUGGCCUACUUGUUUAUACUGCUCGAGCUACCUUCUUUAACAUGCCAGUUGCCAAGUUAUAAAGUUUUAUGCUGGAGAAAGUUGAGCUCAGUUAUGUUUUUCCACAAAGUUGGAUUGGUUCCAGUCAAGACUUGAGGCAUGUAUAAUCAUGCAGAUGUUCUAGUAUUCUAGGCUGGUUUCCUUGUGCAUCUGCUCCACCAGAGGCGGGCUGAAAACGAUUAUUCAAUAUUGAAUUGAUGUUGGUUGCCGAAGAAACACAAGUGUCUCUCCGGCCAUUGCUCUUAUUCCUUUGUUGAGCGUUCCUCUGGAAUCCGUACUAUUUCCUAUUUGAUUGAUAUGCAGUGCAUAAACGACAGCGCCAGCUUUCCAUUUUUUUUCUUUUAAUUUUGUAUUUUUUUGACUCAUUUCAUCAAACUUCAAACCCUCAUUUUCUGUAUAGUAAAACUCCAGAAUGAGAAAGAAGAUUAACGUAAUGGCGCACCUCUUCCCCAUCAAUCAAGACUAGAAGUUACAAGUUCAAUUCUCAUGAUGAUAUUAUCGAUGUUAUUUUAUUAGCUAUUAAAAUUAUUUAUUUCA